UUUUUAUCCUGUGGGGUUGUACGCCCGCGAUAUAAUAUAUUGUGUUCAAAUUGAGCGUGUUCAACGCAGGUUUCUUCGCUAUGUUGGUUUUAUACUAAAGAUACCUCGUGCGCCUCAUAACUGUACGCCAGUUGCUUCUCACCUUGGUUUAGCCUCCUUAGACGAGUGUCACCGUAUCGCGGGUAUCAAGUUCCUCGCGAAUCUAUUGAACAAUAAUAUUGAUUCGCCUACUCUUCUUUCU